UGAUUGAGAAAAUAUAACUAAUAGAUAGGAGAAUUGAUUAACAAUAAGACGCCCGUAUAAAGAUUUUAUCGCAGCUUUGAAAUAAGAUAGGUAAAACAAUAUAUUGUUUGCGAAAUUUAAAUUAGACGAUUUUGUUCUUCCUUGUUCGUUAUGCACAUAAUCUUUAAUUUAAUAUUAUUUCAUUUUUGUUUUUACGUUUAUUUCAUUUGCAUGUAGUUGCGCUAGGCUAUGUUUCAAAUUGCGCGCGUCAACUACGCUGCCAGUGUGCGUAGAGUAGCGUGCGAUGACCGUGGAGCCACUGGCGCGCGCCGAGCGGUAAGGCCCUCCCUCUUAGAUGGACAUCACUGUCUUUCAAUAUGGCGAGAGAAGAACGCGCGCUUUUCUGCAUGUCACGGCGUAAGAGAAGAGGAGGGCGAUCUCCGGGAAACAAAAGUGCUCCCUUUUUUAAACCCCCUAAUUGGGAGAGAAUCCGCUGAAAGGAAUGGAUUCAUAUUAUCCAUGGUCGCGAUUUGUAAAGAGAGAGAGAGAGAGAGGAAGGAAAAAUAAGUCGCCUCUGUGAACUGAUUUUUUUCCAAUUAGGGAUUUAAAAACGGGAUCACUUUUGCUAUUCGCACGUUGUGAAGAUCGUACUCCUCUACUCUUACCUCAUGGUGCAUGAAAGAUAAAUAAGUAAGCUCUAAAAUAAAGCAUGUAAAGAAAUACAACGAAACCUAAGUGUUAUUCAGCCCACUAACUUGAGGAGAGAAAAUACCGCAUACAAGGUAUUAACAUUCUUAUUACAAUGAUUUUGAUAUUUAAUCAUGAAUUAUAUUAAAUACUAUUUAAUCGUAAAUUGAAGUUUGAAAGUUUUAUCGAUCAAACUUAUACAUCUGUUUAAGUUGCAUUUUUUCUGUAUAAAAAUCAAAUGGUAAUUAAUGAUCGUCUUGUUUCGCUAACGGCAAACUUGUUUUUAUUCUUUUACUGUAAAUUUAAAAGACUUUACAACACAUGUAUGAGAUAAAAUAUAAAAUUUUACAAAUUCACAAGAAGCAAAAGAAAGUGCUAUUUCUCGGUUGAAACAAAUCUUGUUGCUUAACAAAUAUCUUUAUAUAAUUUAUUAAAUAUAUUUUUUAGUUUUACAUACAAACACCGUCGAUAUGAUUGUUGCUUACAAAUUCAUUUGCUUAGGUAAUCUGAAGCCAAUCAUAAAUAUAGCAUAUUUAAUAUGUAUGAUUGAGAUCAGAGUAACCUUUAAUUAUCUUGUAAUUAUUUGAUAAAUAUAUAACGGGAAUCGCUACAAUUAAUGCGGCUUGAAUAUGUUAUUUGAUUGCACUGAGUAUUGCCACAAUUAUUUCGCUAUAAACGCGCACAGUAUUCCAAAAGACAAUGUCCCGUGACAAUAAAAUAAACUUUCGUUUUCUUGUUUGAGAGACGUCAUAAAAACGAACGAAUAAAAAAGCGGAAAAGAGAAGGGGAAGAAGGAAAGAAAAAGAAAGAAGGAGUGUCAGUGGGAGGGAAAGAGAGAAAAUUUGAGGGGUUGAGGGAGACAAUGAGAGUAUUUUAUUCCAUCGCGAGACACUUAAGGACGUGGUAGGGUGUGUAUGAAUAUAAAUGACAGUACGUUGCUUUGAAUACGCUUUGUUUUUCCGCGGGAUGGGAGUUUAAAAGGCGAUACGCGCACACGGGACGGGAACGGGAGGAAAUUUCUCUCUCGCGAAUUUCGUAUUGACUGAAAAUAUGAUAUUAGCGCUGAGACGUCGACUUAAAUAUGUUAACGAGCUGUCAAGACACGCAAUAGACAUAUUUACUCAAUUACCUGAAAUUAAUCUACUUACAGUAUGCUUUACGUUAAACACAUUUCAAUUAAUUAUAAUCACUCAAAUAUAUAAGAGUCUAAAAUUACAUUUUAUAUUCAAAUGAAAACAGCAUUGCUUUCUGUUUUGUUUUUUAUCAAUUAUCGCAAGGUAAAUAACAUCUCUGAAGUUCUAAUAACAUCAAGCGAAAUAUUGUGUAAUUGUGUAAAUGUAUGUAUUUUAUUCAUUGCGAAUUAUUGCGCAGAAAUAGAAUUUCAGCAUUGGUUUCGAUCAGUCGUAUUGCUUUGUUUUACCUAGUAUUACCACUAUCCAGAAGCAUACAUAAAUGAUUUAGAAUUUAGCUCUAAUUAAGCCGAUACCGCUUGACCAUUCUCUUUCACGUGCCGGUUACGCAGUUCGUGUUCGUACCUAAUUAAAGUAUAAUUUUUUAAUUGCCGUUCUCCCUCGCGCGCGCGCGCUCAGACAUCGUGAUAUUUGCAUAACGUUAAUUUAAUGGGUGCGUAUGCGGCGCGAUAGCUUCUCGUCCCGUUCUUCCUGCGCCUGUUCAAGACGUCUCCCGACGAAUAGUAAAUAUGAACGGACGACGAAGGGAACAGCGGGACGAUGGGAGACGAUAAAGGUUUCUUCGACAGUUGAAUACGUUUUGUUUCCUACCGAAAGACAUUUCAGACAUUUGCGCGAAGACGGAGAGAAAGAGAGAUGCGCGCCGACUUAAACUGUAAAGAGAGGGACAGAGCGCGGGAGGAAGGAUAGGAUGCACAAGAAACGAAUAGAUGACAGAAGAGGAGUUGGAGAUGAAGAAGAGACACACACACACACACACACACACACACACACACACACACACACACACACACCCGCGCCCGCGCGCCGGCGUCGUUUUCGGUGGUACGCGGCAACCAGCUCAGCCGCAUCGUCCUCGAAGGACGUUCUGUGUGCCACUGGAUGGAAUCCCGGGUUCCCUUAAUUACAACGACCCUCUUCCGUCCCAUUAAUAAGCGGCCUAAACAAACUGCCAUCAUAUAAAUACUUGAAGAUUUCUCUGCCUCGACCACUCAUUCUCUCUUUCCCUCUUGUACACGUAGUCUAGACUGUCGGUUCUCGCUGGUCGCUCUCUUUUCUCUCUUUUCCUCGUCCUUGCCCUCUUCCCUAUCCCCGCGCUUUCUCUUCUCUAUAAUUAAAUUUGCACCGAGCUUCACGAGUUUGGCUCCUUCGUUCAUUUAAUCGGACACCAGGCGUUAGUAUAAUUAAAAGCACAUCUCUUUUGGAAUUCGUCUCAUCUGGACUGCCUUCUGUCUCUUUCUUUGUCUCUCUCUCUCUCUCGCUCAUCUCCGUUUCCGCGGCGGUCUUUUCCCUCUCUUCCUGCCAUCGACACAAGCGUCGAGUCUUGUUUGCUAAUUGCGGUGUACAUGAUGUCGUCCGUGUGUACGCCCGUGCUUUCGGCACUUCUCGCGUACGAGGAGCUCAACGCCGCAUGAUACACACGCCGCAAAUAAGCGAGUCUACGUCCGACGAGGGCGAGUCGAAAAGACGAACCUAUGCGCCGUUUCACAGGGACAUCCGGCGGCGGUUCGGUCUUUGUUCGCACGCGGAGAGAAAUUAUUCGGACUCGAAUAAUUACGGGAAUAUGCUGCAAUUAUCGCGUGCGAAAGGACCAGCCGUACUCGUAAAGGUACCCACUGUCGUUAGGUGCGUCGUAUGCGCCAGUGCCAUCGCCGACGUGGACCCGAGAGAGGAAACCUCCGGGUACGAGCGCGUGAUAUAAAGCCUAUUUUCAGGAAGCCCGUGUCAUUAAGAGAAAAUGGUUUUGCGCAAUAGCGAGUAGUAGAGAGGGUAACAGUAAUGCGAGUUGGUGUAAACCGGUAAGAAUAGUUCUCCAUUUAAUCGACUCGUUUACCGUACCUUGCGUACAGAAAUUGUUGUUCUCGGUUUAUGCAAAUUUAACGCAAUGAAUGAUUGUGCAGAUUUAAUGAGUGUAAAGCUUGAUUUUUUCCUUUCCCCCCCUUUCAUCUCUCGCAAGAAACAUCACGUAUCUCCGCCGCAGAUUUAUUCAAAUGAAUGUACUUCUCUCGAUUUUCGCAUUUUUAUCCGUCUACUUGUUCGUCACUAUUAUUGUUAUAAUACCCUGUCGCAAUCGCGUAAAAAUUUUAACGCGGGGGAGAUCUCUCCCAUCGCUUCCUAAGUGACUGCCGACGUUUGUUACGUUAGGCGGGAGCAAUCGAUUUUGCCAUUAUACCGGAGAAUUGUUUUACUUUACGUUCCGUGGAAUAAACACGAAAUCGUAAAUUUCGGGUGAUGGCCGGUGCCGGCGAGCUAAACGACUCCGAUUAUUCGUGCGGCCCGCAGCCGCGGCACGUUAUGCCCUCAACUUUAUCGAAGCCCGCUUCGAGAUAUAUUAUCCCCGCGCCCGGUACACACAACGUUUUCCACGGUACUCGACGAAUUACGACGGCAUGGACCCGCAUUUUUCUCGGAUGUUAUCCCUCGUAAGAUGUCCCAUCGACAAUUACACACGUAUGUCGUUACGCGGCCGAGUCCCGCGUCGCGUUUUAUCUUGUGUGGCACGUUUAGUGCCACGAAGGCGUGACACGGAUUCCUCGUCGCUGCAGAAACCGGUCUUAUCCUCUCGUGGCUUUCUUGUUGUUGCGACGGACCCGCUUUUGCGACGCUUCCGUGGCCGCUCCCGAUGCGAAGUCCUGCCUUUCUCAAGCCGGGCCAUUGAAGUACUGGAUUGCGUGUCAGGGUCGGGAUUUAUUAGGUUUUUUUCCCCGAUGUUUCAAGUUGGAGCUCUUCGUUGAUAAUUCACACGAUUUAGCACUUCGAGUUAAAUAAAUCCGCCGUGCCAUUCGCCAGUCUUCCUAGAUUAUGGUUUUCUACAGGAAGAAAAAAAAGAAAAGGAAAUAGUUAGAUCGAGGCUAAUCUUCGUUUACUCAAUUCCCAAUAAUUGCACUUAGAGAAGAAAUGAAACGAUCGUGUAUUAUAUUUUCAAUUAUAUCUGAUUAAUGGAUGUUUUAAUUAGAUGUAGUAAUUAAAUUGUAGUCAUUAAUCGAGUGAUAAAAUUAAGCAGAAUAAUUGAAGUCCUCGGGCGAAUGAGGUGUUUUGAUAAUAAUAAACUUAGUGAUCUCUGUUUCUCUCUUGAUGAUUUUAUAUGCAUAACUUUUAGAAAUUUAUAGCAUUUACUUUUUAAAACUUUAAUUUUCAUAUGAUGUAUACAAACGAUACGGUUUGUUAAAUAAAACAUACUAAAAAGGAGUUCUUUGUAUUGCGCGUGUAGUCUUUCGUAUUUUGUGCAUUCGAUCAUUGCUGCGUUUCUUACUUGCUUCGGACGAACUGAAAUUCACGCCAUAACAAUGCAGCAACACGCGCGUUGCUACGCGAGAUCUUUUACACGCAUUGUCACGUAUGCAGGUAGACAGAGAUACGGAGGCGUAUGUAAGACGACCGGGCGGGGCGAGACGUUCGAAGGGCACGGAGUUUCUCAAUAUUUAAUAGCGUCUGGGUACGAGUGCUGUCUCGACACUUCUGAAAUUGCAAGGCGUGAAGGAUUCGAGAGCGGCGCGGAAACUAGACGAAAGGAAGGCGGGGAGAAAAUUCAUUCGUUGUCUACCACGAAGUCUCGCGAUGAUUGCACCGAGAUCGGAUCUUCAUUAAAAAACAGCCUUUUACUAUUUAUCGCCGAAUUGCAAUUAAAAAUUCGCUUUCUUGUUCUUCUCGGGUCGAAUUUUUUCUCCUACUUUCAACCUUAGUUUUAAAACGUACGUAUUAAGCAGUAUUAAAACAAAUCUAUUUGAAUGUUAAACAUUUCAAAAUAGAUAGUAAAGAAUCGUAAUUGAGGUCGAAAGUAGGAUUAGAAUUUCGACUCGAGUUGGUACUUUGCUCUUGACAUAAACAAAUUGCAUUUUUAAAGUUUCGAUAUGUGUAUACUGCUCCCGCGUAUAUACGAUCGUUUUGAGUGUGCUCGCUGGCGAUUUGAUUCGAAGGAUUCGCGCAUACAAAAGCAAUUCAGCGUACACGGAGUCGCUCUCGAUAAACGACAUGUGUUGCUCGAAGGCUGCGAACGAUUGUCACGACGAGAAAACGCAAAGGUAUCGUGGUACAGAUUUAAAGAGAACCUAGAGCCCCGGGUGGUCUUCGAGAGGAGGACAGGCGGAAGGCGAGUGAGGGAACGAGGAAGGAGAUGCUUUCCAAGUGAGGAGGAGAAGGUCUGACGGAGCAUAGUGAGAUUGGAAUACCUACCACGUAGAGAAGCUGGAGAGACGGAAAAGGAAGAGCAGGGAGGGGGGGAGGGGGAGGGGAGGAUCCUGAUCCGAGUCAGAAGAGACACAGCAAAGAGAGCAUGAGGACCGGACGGCCAUGGUAGAGACACUUUCGUGAGAUUGAGCCCGAAUUCAAUAGGGGAUGAAUAAAAUAUAAACCAGCCGCCCUAUUGCGAUCCGACGCGGAGGCUAAGGGCGAUAGCCGACCCUUGUGUAAAUAAAUAAAAAUUAUAUCCAUUCCCCGGCGGAAUGCGAGUGGACAUGUACGGUGGUUGUGCACACCACGCCGACUGAUUCCCUCGCGAAACUAAAUGGCCGAUUAAAUCAAUCGCUUCCAUCGUUGCCGUCGUGAUUUUCUAUCCUGAUAUUUAUACGAUGUAACGAUUUACAGUUGUACCUUAAUAGAUCGUGACGGACGUUAUUAAUCCGGUAACUGUCGUUUGGUUAUGACAUUUUUAUCGAGUGCCCCAAAGUUUUAUGCGAUUUUGACGUCAUUGAGAGAGACGUACGGUAUACCAUUAAUUACCAUAUAUCACAUACAUAUGAUGCCGAUUUUUGUUUUCAUGAUUUGUGACUGAAGUUCGUGCGAGUAGCGUUUUAAAUUAUUAUAUUACACGUAAACAAAGAUUUUAUAUUUUUAAUUUAGCAAGAUGACUAUGCGCAAAUGUUAAAUAAACGUUUGUCCACGAAUGUCUAUUAAUUCUGAAAUAAGAUCAAAAUCAUUAUUUUCAUACAUUCUAGUAAUUUUAUGUUCGAGAGAGGUUUAAAUCUCUCUCUCUCUCUUUCUCUCUCUCUUUCUUAUGGAAUGAAAA